rnacentral:rRNA from 1 species
UAGGGAAUCCUCGGCAAUGGGGGCAACCCUGACCGAGCAACGCCGCGUGAGUGAAGAAGGUUUUCGGAUCGUAAAGCUCUGUUGUAAGAGAAGAACGUGUGUGAGAGUGGAAAGUUCACACAGUGACGGUAACUUACCAGAAAGGGACGGCUAACUACGUGUCAG